rnacentral:rRNA from 1 species
CCUACGGGGGGCAGCAGUGAGGAAUAUUGGUCAAUGGACGAGAGUCUGAACCAGCCAAGUAGCGUGAAGGAUGACUGCCCUAUGGGUUGUAAACUUCUUUUAUAUGGGAAUAAAAUGUUCCACGUGUGGGAUUUUGUAUGUACCAUAUGAAUAAGGAUCGGCUAACUCCGUGCCAGCAGCCGCGGUAAUACGGAGGAUCCGAGCGUUAUCCGGAUUUAUUGGGUUUAAAGGGAGCGUAGGUGGAUUGUUAAGUCAGGUGUGAAAGUUUGCGGCUCAACCGUAAAAUUGCAGUUGAAACUGGCAGUCUUGAGUACAGUAGAGGUGGGCGGAAUUCGUGGUGUAGCGGUGAAAUGCUUAGAUAUCACGAAGAACUCCGAUUGCGAAGGCAGUUCACUGGACUGCAACUGACACUGAGGCGCGAAAGUGUGGGUAUCAAACAGGAUUAGAUACCCUUGUAGUC